CCUACGGGAGGCAGCAGUGGGGAAUAUUGGGCAAUGGGCGCAAGCCUGACCCAGCAACGCCGCGUGAAGGAAGAAGGCUUUCGGGUUGUAAACUUCUUUUGUCGGGGACGAAACAAAUGACGGUACCUGACGAAUAAGCCACGGCUAACUACGUGCCAGCAGCCGCGGUAAUACGUAGGUGGCAAGCGUUAUCCGGAUUUACUGGGUGUAAAGGGCGCGCAGGCGGGCUGGUAAGUUGGAAGUGAAAUCUGGGGGCUCAACCCCCAAACUGCUUUCAAAACUGCUGGUCUUGAGUGAUGGAGAGGCAGGCGGAAUUCCGUGUGUAGCGGUGAAAUGCGUAGAUAUACGGAGGAACACCAGUGGCGAAGGCGGCUUGCUGGACAUUAACUGACGCUGAGGCGCGAAAGCGUGGGGAGCAAACAGGAUUAGAUACCCCUGUAGUC
rnacentral:rRNA from 1 species